UUGGGUGGGCACCCAAGGGUGAGAAGGGGG
rnacentral:piRNA from 1 species